rnacentral:lncRNA from 10 species
AGCCAAACCAUAUCAGGGGUCUUUCAGAAAUGUACGUUGAAGAUGGAGAACAACUGAUGUCAAGACACAUUUUGGUUGUAAGGGACAGAAGUCCAACUCCAACGAGCUUGCCAAGGAUGGAACCUGCUGGCAAACAUAACCAAACUUUGGGAAGGGCAGGGUAUGGUUAACCUCAGGUUUCUGGAAGCAGAGUGUACAGUGCUGUGCCGUCCCUCUUCUCUCUGCUUCUCUCUGCGUAUUGGCCCUAUCCUCUCAGUGGGGCACCCUCCCUGAGCAGCGAACAGCAGCCACAGGAAGCUCCAGUGUCAAUGCCUCCCACAGCUUUCCAGAGAAGCAGCAGCCUCUUUGUUAGCUCCGUAUCAAAGACAUCCACAGGCAGGGCUUUGUGUGACCCAGUUUGGGUCACGUCUUUAUUUGGGGCCCGGAGGAAAUGGAUACAAUGACUACAGCCCAUCAUAGAACCUCAUGUUUAGAGGACCAAAUUUCC